rnacentral:rRNA from 1 species
UACGGAGGGUGCAAGCGUUAAUCGGAUUCAUUGGGCGUAAAGAGCACGUAGGCGGAGUGGAAAGUUAGAUGUGAAAUCCCGGGGCUCAACUUCGGACCCGCAUCUAAAACUCCUAUUCUAGAGGAUGGACGGAGAAAAGGGAAUUCCACGUGUAGCGGUGAAAUGCGUAGAUAUGUGGAAGAACACCGGUGGCGAAGGCGCUUUUCUAGUUUAUUCCUGACGCUGAGGUGCGAAAGCAAGGGGAGCAAACAGG